GGGGGUGUUCCGGUAUCGACUGAAGUUGGUUGGGUCAGGGGCUGCAGGUGGAGUGCCGAUCUCCUUAAAAGCGGCAACAAUUUAACUGCCGAAGACAAUUUGGCACUGGCUGCCUAAUUAGGUGACCACGGGCACCCGGGGCGCUGUUCCGAGCGCCGGACUGCCUGUAACAGACCGGGACUCACCGGCCGGGAGCGCCGCAUACCGGCAGGGAAAACAAAUGCGGCAAACGGGAAGGCAACGGCGGGCCGCCGGGCCGGCCUCCCGUAAACACCGGCGGAUAAACCUGUAGAGGUUUCUGGCACGCGCUUCAGGACGCGGGUUCGACUCCCGCCACCUCCAUUU
rfam:Spirochaetes bacterium GWB1_66_5 gwb1_scaffold_6196, whole genome shotgun sequence.